UACGUAGGGAGCAAGCGUUGUCCGGAAUCAUUGGGCGUAAAGCGCGCGUAGGCGGCUCGAUCAGUCUGUUGUGAAAGUCAAAGGCUCAACCUUUGAAUGCCGAUGGAUACUGUCGAGCUAGAGUCCGGAAGAGGCGGGUGGAAUUCCUGGUGUAGCGGUGGAAUGCGCAGAUAUCAGGAGAAACACCAACGGCGAAGGCAGCCCGCUGGGACGGUACUGACGCUAAGGCGCGAAAGCGUGGGGAGCGAACAGG
rnacentral:rRNA from 1 species